GACGUAGGGUGCAAGCGUUGUCCGGAUUUAUUGGGCGUAAAGAGCUCGUAGGCGGCUUGUCGCGUCGAAUGUGAAAUCCCGUGGCUCAACUGCGGGACUGCAUUCGAUACGGGCAGGCUAGAGUUCGGUAGGGGAGACUGGAAUUCCUGGUGUAGCGGUGAAAUGCGCAGAUAUCAGGAGGAACACCGGUGGCGAAGGCGGGUCUCUGGGCCGAUACUGACGCUGAGGAGCGAAAGCGUGGGGAGCGAACAGG
rnacentral:rRNA from 1 species